rnacentral:rRNA from 1 species
CCUACGGGAGGCUGCAGUGAGGAAUAUUGGUCAAUGGUCGAGAGUCUGAACCAGCCAAGUCGCGUGAGGGAUGACUGCCCUGUGGAUUGUAAACUUCUUUUAUAUGGGAAUAAAUGUUCCACGUGUGGGAUGGUGUAUGUACCAUAUGAAUAAGGAUCGGCCAAAUCCGGGCCAGCAGCCGCGGUAAUACGGAGGAGCCGAGCGUUAUCCGGAUUUAUUGGGGUUAAAGGGUGGGUAGGUGGGUUGUUAAGUCAGUUGUGAAAGUUUGGGGGUCAACCGUAAAACUGCAGUUGAAACUGGCAGUCUUGAGUACGGGAGAGGUGUGCGGAAUGCGAGGUGUAGCGGUGAAAUGCUUAGAUAUCGCGAAGAACUCCGAUUGCGAAGGCAG